GAUGAACGCUGGCGGCGUGCCUAAUACAUGCAAGUCGAGCGAACGGACGAGAAGCUUGCUUCUCUGAUGUUAGCGGCGGACGGGUGAGUAACACGUGGAUAACCUACCUAUAAGACUGGGAUAACUUCGGGAAACCGGAGCUAAUACCGGAUAAUAUUUUGAACCGCAUGGUUCAAAAGUGAAAGACGGUCUUGCUGUCACUUAUAGAUGGAUCCGCGCUGCAUUAGCUAGUUGGUAAGGUAACGGCUUACCAAGGCAACGAUGCAUAGCCGACCUGAGAGGGUGAUCGGCCACACAGGAACUGAGCGACGGUCAAGACUCCUACGGGAGGCAGUAGGGAAUCUUCCGCAAUGGGCGAAAGCCUGACGGAGCAACGCCGCGUGAGUGAUGAAGGUCUUCGGAUCGUAAAACUCUGUUAUUAGGGAAGAACAUAUGUGUAAGUAACUGUGCACAUCUUGACGGUACCUAAUCAGAAAGCCACGGCUAACUACGUG
rnacentral:rRNA from 1 species